rnacentral:rRNA from 1 species
UACGUAGGGUGCGAGCGUUGUCCGGAAUUAUUGGGCGUAAAGAGCUUGUAGGCGGUUUGUCGCGUCUGCCGUGAAAAUUCGAGGCUCAACCUCGAACUUGCGGUGGGUACGGGCAGACUAGAGUGUGGUAGGGGAGACUGGAAUUCCUGGUGUAGCGGUGAAAUGCGCAGAUAUCAGGAGGAACACCGGUGGCGAAGGCGGGACUCUGGGCCGAUACUGACGCUGAGGAGCGAAGGCGUGGGGAGCAAACAGG